GAUGAACGCUAGCGGCAGGCUUAAUACAUGCAAGUCGAGGGGCAGCAUGACUGUAGCAAUACAGUUGAUGGCGACCGGCAAACGGGUGCGGAACACGUACAGAACCUUCCUUCGAGCGGGGAAUAGCCCAGAGAAAUUUGGAUUAAUACCCCAUAGUACAACGGAGUGGCAUCACUUUGUUGUUAAAGAUUUAUCACUUGAAGAUGGCUGUGCGGCUGAUUAGGUAGUGGGCGGGGUAACGGCCCACCAAGCCUGCGAUCAGUAGCUGGUGUGAGAGCACGACCAGUCACACGGGCACUGAGACACGGGCCCGACUCCUACGGGAGGCAGCAGUAAGGAAUAUUGGUCAAUGGACGAAAGUCUGAACCAGCCAUGCCGCGUGGAGGAUGAAGGUCCUCUGGAUUGUAAACUUCUUUUAUAUGGGACGAAAAAAGGGUUUUCUAACUCGUCUGACGGUACCAUAUGAAUAAGCACCGGCUAACUCCGUGCCAGCCGCCGCGGUAAUAC
rnacentral:rRNA from 1 species